UUUGAAUAAGCUAGUGGAAAAAGGGUUAGUCUAGUGAAGACUUCUGCUCCCGUUCCAAUCAGCUGCUGAGGUUGGGCUGCAGCCAGACUGAUGACUCUUCUUCCAUAUGCAAGAGGGUGAAGCACUAGGGUGUUACCAGGAAUUGAGACCUGGACGGGCUGCAGGACUGGGCACCCAGCCGAGUCACACCCAAGCGGUGGGCGCUUGCCAGCUUCGGGCCUAGGCUGUUGCCCCUGAGAGACUGGGCAGGGCCGGCAGCUCUUUGCUUGCUGAUUCUCUCAUCUCCCAGAGCAACAGCCUGGUGCAGACUGUGGUCAUCCGUGGGAAUGUUCCUCCUGCAUCGGCGGGACCUGCAUUGCCCCAGUGUGUGGCCACGUGCUCCUCUGGGCUCAUACAGAUGUCUGUACUCAGAGGACGCCACUGUGCCAUCGUGAGUUCAGGGCUGAAGUGCAGGACAGGGGCUGCUUGCUUUGAGUCUCAACUUUUGGGGCCCUUCACUGGGCUCUUGCUGAAUGCAUAAAGUAUUUAAGGCCUCAACUUCCUCAUCUGGAAAAUUAACAUUACUCCAGUCCUAUCCAUAUCACUGGAUUAUGCCGAGAACCAAAUGAGAUGAUCAGUGUAAAAAUGGUCAGUAAACUUCAAGACACUACACAGAAGCAAGCAGCCAUUUUUUUCAUGCAGCUGGGUCUUAACAGCCCUGGCUCCUUCCAGCUGCUCCCCUGUGGGGAGACUCUGUCCAUGGCCAGCCUUGAAGGGCUGGGAUUGGAUUUGCUUCAAAGAGGUGGCUGGAUUCCUGACCUGAGGUGCCCUCAGGGGUCUCUAAGAGGAAGGAGGAGCCCAGGAGCAGGUGUUGGAGGCUCAGGGAUUCAGCCCCUUUGACCAGGCUGAGAGCCUCCCUCCGUUUCCAGCCUGGGUGGGUUGGGAUCUCAUUUUGUUAGGUGGGAACUAAAU
rnacentral:lncRNA from 1 species